rnacentral:rRNA from 1 species
GAUGAACGCUAGCGCUAGGCUUAACACAUGCAAGUCGAGGGGCAGCGAGGGUAGCAAUACCUGUCGGCGACCGGCGCACGGGUGAGUAACGCGUAUGUAACCUGCCCGCAACAGGGGGAUAACCCGGCGAAAGUCGGACUAAUACCGCAUAAAACAGGGGUCCCGCAUGGGAAUAUUUGUUAAAGAUUUAUCGGUUGCGGAUGGGCAUGCGUACCAUUAGGUAGUUGGUGAGGUAACGGCUCACCAAGCCUUCGAUGGUUAGGGGUUCUGAGAGGAAGGUCCCCCACACUGGUACUGAGACACGGACCAGACGCCUACGGGAGGCAGCAGUGAGGAAUAUUGGUCAAUGGGCGAGAGCCUGAACCAGCCAAGUCGCGUGAAGGAUGACUGCCCUAUGGGUUGUAAACUUCUUUUACAAGGGAAUAAAAUGAGAUACGUGUAUUUUAUUGCAUGUACCUUGGGAAUAAGCAUCGGCUAACUCCGUG